CACGCUGCGAAACGUCAAAACAAAAAAGACGACAACAACUUCCGUAGGCUUUUCAGCGCCAAGAAAGAUGAGUUUGAAGGGAAUCUACGCUGCAGAUUAUGGACACUGAAGACAAUAAGCAGAACGUUCAAGUCUGGGUGGCCAGAAGUUACAUUUCGGUGACCUGGUGACCUCUCUCUGCAAACCCAGAGGAUCACUUUCCUGUUAUGCUGGGAAGGGCAGACAAGACGGGCUACGUGGAAUCUAUAUUUAGAAGCCUUCCAUCCAGGAUUUUGCAGUGUCUAAUGCAUGCAAGCCAAAUAUACUAAUUAGUGGUUAAAAUAUACAAAGAGAACACAUUGUACCAUUCAUCAGUAUGGACUACAGAAAUGUAAUUUUUGUAACUUUUAAAUGAUUUAAUUAUUGCGAGUGGCGUGGAGUGUUACCUGUGAUUGAGUUGGAGACAAAAACAAAGGAGAUGGAGAAAGGAGUGUCUUAAGUUGGACCGUGGUACCAUUAAUGUUUUCCUCUUUAGUCUUGAAUUGUUUUUUUUUUUGUUAAUGCUUUGUAUUACUAUUUUGA